UUAUAAUGAUGAUCCUAAAUAUGUUAUUGGAAAGCUUUCGGAGUUAAGUGGAGUUCCUGUUGAGUAUAUCUAUUGUACAGAGGGAAGAUCAUUUCCAGUUGAGAUACCAUGUCUUGAUAUUGAGAAUAAGUUGGAAUGGUAUUCCAUCAGUUCAGACAUACCAUACUCAUUAGGACUAUAUGGUGAUGGAUAUGUCAUAUAUUACAAAGACAAUAGAGAGACAAUGAAAGAGUUAAGAGAUAAAGAG